GGUGGCUCAGUGGGUGAGAACAGCUGCUCUGCUUUGCUGCACCUGUGACACUGGGGCAAAGAGGAAGUGGCUAUUUCUAUGCUCUGCUCAGAACAGUGACCACUAAGAAUGAUUUGUAGCCUAACAAGC